rnacentral:rRNA from 1 species
UACGUAGGUGGCAAGCGUUGUCCGGAAUUAUUGGGCGUAAAGCGCGCGCAGGUGGUUUCUUAAGUCUGAUGUGAGAGCCCACGGCUCAACCGUGGAGGGUCAUUGGAAACUGGGGAACUUGAGUGCAGGAGAGAAGAGUGGAAUUCCACGUGUAGCGGUGAAAUGCGUAGAGAUGUGGAGGAACACCAGUGGCGAAGGCGACUCUUUGGCCUGUAACUGACACUGAGGCGCGAAAGCGUGGGGAGCAGACAGG